AUGGAGAAACAACUGAUGCUCAUUUUAAUUCUGACUCCAGGUGUGAUGACUGCAGACCAGAUUAGGCCAAAUAAAGAAGCUUUUACUGUAAAGGAAGAGGAGACUGUGACCUUCAGUUGCUCAUAUGAAACAAGCAGCAGCUAUGUUUGGCUUUACUGGUACAGACAGCAUCUUAACGGAGAACCUCAGUAUUUAAUCUUUAAACCUGCAAAAUCAGCUUCUGUAAGUGGAGAUCCAGUUGAUCGUAGGUUUCAGUCGAGCACAUCAGACUCAUCCACUGAACUCACUAUUAGCGGUGCAACUCUGUCAGAUUCAGCUCUCUAUUAUUGUGCUCUAAGAGUUGGAGCCCAGUGA